rnacentral:rRNA from 1 species
CUCUUUUUUCNGGGAGGAAUNAAAUGACGGUACCUGAAGAAUAAGCAUCGGCUAACUCCGUGCCAGCAGCCGCGGUAAGACGGAGGAUGCAAGUGUUAUCCGGAAUCACUGGGCGUAAAGCGUCUGUAGGUGGUUUAAUAAGUCAACUGUUAAAUCUUGAGGCUUAACCUCGAAAUCGCAGUCGAAACUAUUAGACUAGAGUAUAGUAGGGGUAAAGGGAAUUUCCAGUGGAGCGGUGAAAUGCGUAGAUAUUGGAAAGAACACCAAUGGCGAAGGCACUUUACUGGGCUAUUACUAACACUGAGAGACGAAAGCUAGGGUAGCAAAUNGGGAUUAGAUACCCCAGUAGUCCUAGCCGUAAACAAUGGAUACUAGAUGUUGAACAGAUCGACCUGUGCAGUAUCAAAGCUAACGCGUUAAGUAUCCCGCCU